GUACAGAGAGGACAAUGUUCUAGCCUAUCUUUUAGCCCAAUGGACGGCUUUCGUUAAUUGGGUAGGGUCAAUUCUCAUCUCUAAGGUCCCUUUCCUAGUUUCUGAGGCUGUGGAGACAGAUGCUUUCAGGCCCUUCGUCUUUUGUACUCUGUUAGUCAUAAAUAAAAUAUUUAUUCAGCGAAAAAAAAAAAAAAAAAAAAAACAACACUGCCUAUCUCUUACGCCAUUUCCAAGUGUUUCAAACCGGAAAUUUCAGAAAAGCUUGAAAUUGGGCUAGGAUUAGUAAUGUCAGACUAUCUCCCCGACGAAGUGGUGCUGAAAAUACUGCACAGACUUCCCGUCAAGUCCCUAAUUCGAUUCAGGUGCGUUUCUAAAUCAUGGAACUCUUUAAUUACAACCCCUUCUUUCAUCAAUUCCCACCUUUCCUACAAUUCCUCCAACUCCGACAAAUUAAUUGUUAGGCACGGCGUUGGUAAACCCUAUUUAGAGCACUACAAAUUAAUUGACGAUAACAAUGACUCCUCAUCUGUUCAAAUUCAACAAAUUGAUUUCCCACUAGCGAGUAGUCGUUUUAUGUUAAUCGGUUCCGUGAAUGGAUUGCUCUGUCUUUCUGAAAUAGAGCGCUAUGUUCUUUGGAAUCCCUCUAUUAGAAAAUUUAUAACCCUUCCAAACCCUUGCAUUACUGUCAAGACGCACGGCCGCGUUAAGUGUCGUUCGGCAUUCGGGUUUGAUCCACGGACUAAUGAUUAUAAGGUGGUGAGGAUUGUAUUUCAAGAUGGAACUACAAUACCUGUGGUUGAGGUUUACUCUCUUAACGAGGGCUCUUGGAGAAUAACAAGUGCUGGCAACUCUUUUUCACCCGGGUUUAUGUUUAAUGAUGGGGGGCAACCAUCAGCUUCUUUAAAUGGGGCUGUCCAUUUUGUAGGGAUAGAUAGGGAUGAUAACUUUUGUCCAUUAGUUUUGUCAUUUGACUUGGGUGAUGAGGUUUUUCGCAUCAUACCUGUGCCAAAUGGUGCAUUCCGUCCAGUUGAUUAUGUUCUUACCUCAGUAAUUGGGGGAUCGCUUUCUCUUUUAUGUCAUGAUAGUCUUAAGGACACCAAGCAGUGCUGUUCCAUUUGGGUGAUGAAAGAGUAUGGUGUUGUUGAUUCUUGGACUAAACAGCUCACUGUUGAUCUCGAAGAAGGACAGUUAUUAGGUCUCCAGAAGAAUGGUAAUAUAUUAGUGGAGACAGAACUACCAGUACUAAUUCUUUGUGAGAUCUCUUCAUAUGAUCCUAAGAGCAAACAAAGUAAGAAUUUGGGAAUUUUUGGGAGGCCAUUCAGUUUUUGUGUUGAAAAUUAUAUGGAGAAUCUAGUCUUACUUGACAAACCAAAUGACAGUUUCCAAAGGAGAGUGAGCAGGAAGAGGAAAUACAGUUUAAUAAAUGUGGUAUCAGAGGAAGAGAGACGAGAUAAAGAAACAAGCCAUGAGCUCGAAAAGAAAAUGUUACAUCUAGAGCAUGAUAUAGCCAUUUUAAAAGCGAAAGUGAUGGAAAUUUCCACUCUAAAGUCAGAAAGGGCGGCUUUAAAAUCACAGGCAUUACGGUUUGUUCAACAAUUGAGUAACCAGGUUAAAAACAUGAUUAGCAGUGUUGGAAAUGUGGGUUCGCCGUAACUUGGACAAAAAUCCUCUUCUAUUUGCCAAGAAUUGCCAACUCGUGGUAAUGUUCAUUACUUGGAAAAUGUUGGACUUGUUUGAUGAUGAGAAAUAUAAGUUGAACAAUCACUCAUUGUGGAGAAAUUUAUGUUGAACUUCGGAACUUCAUAAUUCUAGUCGUGUAUUCUAACAACUUGUUGUAAUCAUGUUAUUUUUGGAACAAAUAUGUUAAUUUAUACAUGAGUAUUUAUUAGCUUUAA